UACGGGGGGGGCAAGCGUUGUUCGGAAUCACUGGGCUUAAAGGGCGCGUAGGCGGGCUGUCAAGUCUGGGGUGAAAUCCCGCGGCUCAACCGUGGAACUGCCUUAGAUACUGACGGCCUCGAGGGAGGUAGGGGCAUGCGGAACUGAUGGUGGAGCGGUGAAAUGCGUUGAUAUCAUCAGGAACUCCGGUGGCGAAGGCGGCGUGCUGGACCUUUUCUGACGCUGAGGCGCGAAAGCCAGGGGAGCAAACGGG
rnacentral:rRNA from 1 species